GUGAAAGUGAGUUUUCUUACUGUCAAAAAGGAAAUUUUAAAAAAGGAGAUAUUAGAAAUACAGGCUGGCCAGGGACGUAAGUACCUGCCUGACAAGGUUGAGAGUUCGAUCCCCAGUACAAAAAAAGAAAAGAAACACAAGCUGAACUGAGUGGUGGUGCACCCUGUAAGUCCAGCACUCGGGAGGCUGAGGCAAGAGGAUCACUGUGAGCUUGAGGGCAGCCUGGGCUACACAGUGAGUUCAGGGGCAGCUUGAAACUACAGAGCAAGAACCUAUCUCAAAAAACCGAACAAACAAAGCCAGGCGUGAUGGUGCACUCCUGUAGUCCCAGCACUUGGGAGGCUGAGGCAGAUGGAUUGUGGCAAGUUUGAGACCAGCAUGGGCUACAAAGUGAGCCCAAGGCAGCCUGAACCGCAUAGCCAGACCCUGUCUCAGAAAGCAAAAAAAAAAAAACAAAGAAACACAGGCUGGGAGAAAGCUGGACUGAUCCUGGGGCUCUGGCCCAGGACUGGAGAGUCAAGCAUGAGUCAUGAUUACACAUGCAGGCACCACAGGGAGAUGAGCUUGUGCGCAUGUGCAACACCCUUGGAGCAACAAGCACCAACACAGCCCAGCACUUGGCAUCCAAGUCUACUCUCCAGCACAAGGACUCAGGGUUCCUGAGGAAGUUCCAGUUCCGGGCCGGGACAGGAAGUUGAGGUGGACUCGGAGUACCUCAUCCCGGAAAGUCAGGCCUUGCUCAGAGAACAGCUGACUCACGUCAGACGGCACAGCACAGCCUGGGGAGCUCCUCUGCCAAACUGGGAACAAUGUGAGCACUAACAUAAUAAGGGUCUCACUAUGCAGUUCAGGCUGGCCUUGAACUCACUUUGUAGCCUAAGCUGGUCUCAAACUUGCAACUAUCUUGCCUCAGCAUCCUGAAUGCUGGGAUUACAGUACAGGAGGCCUGGGGUCCUAGGCCAAAGGGGCAGAGGCAGAUGUUGUGAGAAGAGCAAAGAUGGGGCAGCCUGGGCCUCUGCUCUCCAUGACAGACUCUGCGUGUGACUUUAGAAGACACUGAGGGAAGGUGAGGCUGUGCAUGACAUGACCAGGCUUUCUAUCUGGAUGUCCCCCCAAGCCUAUGUGUUCAUAGACGAGGCUUUGGGGAGGUGACUGGAUCACUGGGCCAUGCUACUCUUCAGUGUGGAGAAGCCCACUGGUCAGUUUCUAGCUACAUGUGAUGCUGGGAGUUGAAGCCUGACUGGAGGAAGUACUGAUCGCUGGGGGCGUGGCCUGAAAGGGUCUAUUUCCCUCCUCCUCCUCUCUUGAUCUCUGCCUGCUUGCUGCCCGCCAUACCAUACAGCAGUUUCUCCUCUGUGAUGCCCCACUGCCAUGCCAUCCUGCCCUGGAGUCAGCCAACUAUCAACUGAAACCUCUACACACUGGGAGCCAAAAUAAACCUCUUCUUUAAAUUG